UGAUCAUGGUGAUCAUGAUGGUGAUCAUGAUGGUAAUCAUGAUGGUGAUUAUGGUGAUGAUCAUGAUGGUGAUCAUGAUGGUGAUCAUGAUGGUGA